rnacentral:lncRNA from 1 species
UCCUGCAGGCUUUCAACCUUGACCAGAGGUUUUCAUAAUGAAUGCAGCAUCCCUGGGGAGUGAUCUGAAGCUGGCGAGGCAAUGAGAACACCCUGGCAGGGCAGCUGAGCUGGGUGGAUCCUUGUUCUGUCACCAAGCCUUUAAGUCAUAUGCUGACAUGUUACAGUCCUGCCUGGGACCCUGCCCACAAAUACUUAAGAUACACGACUUUGGGAAUCACCCAACUGAUGGAAAGAACCAGGAAAGGGGUCAGGAUCUGCACCUUGGCAAACUUUGAAGAACACCCAAUUUGAUGAAUGAAAACUCCUCACUUGUGCUCUGGUGGUGUUUUAGGACAAUGGGCCCCUCCUGGAUGCUCCAGUGAAGCCCCAUAUCACCUUUUUCCUUCCUGUUUGCCAUAGCUCCAGGUUGUACCUGCCUACAAGAUUAUCAACACCAUGUGAGAACAUCCACUUUGCUGAACUCUUUCUCACAUAUCACCUUUAGAGAUGUUACAUGGU